rnacentral:tRNA from 1 species
GGGCUCGUGGUCUAGCGGCUAUGACGAUUCGUUGACGUCGAAUAGGUCCCCAGUUCGAAUCUGGGCGGGCCCA